GUGAGCGUGUCGGAGUGGUUACCGGGCAUGACUAGAAAUCAUGUGGGCUUUUCCUGCGCAGGUUUAAAUCGUGCCGCUCACG
rnacentral:tRNA from 1 species